AGAGAUCUUAGCAAUAAUAACAUUGGUGGAACUAUCCCGGAGAAUCUUCCUCUUACACUGAAGACAUUUUUUCUCUCGGCUAACCAAUUGACAGGAAGCAUCCCAAGUUCUCUGUCCAAGCUAACACUUCUAUCAGACAUGUCAGUGAACGUUAAUCAUUUAAGUGGUGAUUUGCCAGAUGCUUUCCAGUCUCUCACUGGUC